GACGAACGCUGGCGGCGUGCUUAACACAUGCCAGUCGAACGGAAAGGCCCUGCUUUUGUGGGGUGCUCGAGUGGCGAACGGGUGAGCAACACGUGAGUAACCUGCCCUUGACUUUGGGAUAACUUCAGGAAACUGGGGCUAAUACCGGAUAGGAGCUCCUGCCGCAUGGUGGGGGUUGGAAAGUUUCGGCGGUUGGGGAUGGACUCGCGGCUUAUCAGCUUGUUGGUGGGGUAGUGGCUUACCAAGGCUUUGACGGGUAGCCGGCCUGAGAGGGUGACCGGCCACAUUGGGACUGAGAUACGGCCCAGACUCCUACGGGAGGCAGCAGUGGGGAAUAUUGCACAAUGGGCGGAAGCCUGAUGCAGCAACGCCGCGUGCGGGAUGACGGCCUUCGGGUUGUAAACCGCUUUCGCCUGUGACGAAGCGUGAGUGACGGUAAUGGGUAAAGAAGCACCGGCUAACUACGUG
rnacentral:rRNA from 1 species